UACGUAGGGUGCGAGCGUUGUCCGGAAUUAUUGGGCGUAAAGAGCUUGUAGGCGGUCUGUCGCGUCUGCUGUGAAAAUCCGGGGCUCAACCCCGGACUUGCAGUGGGUACGGGCAGACUAGAGUGUGGUAGGGGAGACUGGAAUUCCUGGUGUAGCGGUGAAAUGCGCAGAUAUCGUAAGGAACGCCAGUUGCGAAAGCGAGUCCCUGGAUAGUCUGCUGACGCUGAGGCACGAAAGCUGGGGGAGCAAACGGG
rnacentral:rRNA from 1 species